CGGUAGGAAGACGGUAGGAAGACGGUAGGCAGGAUUAACACGCGCGACGGGGGAGGGCGUUUGGGUUUUCUAAUUGUUGGUUUUAUUCUCUUUUUAUCCGUCCUUGUCAUGCCUGCACCCGUCAGUGGUUGCUUGUCAGUAGUAGCUUCAAGUUGUCUCCCUCAUCCUUCUUCCGAUCUGUCACUUUCCGUCGCCUGUGUUCGUCCCCUGGCUAUAUACACUUACCCUCCGGGAUUGGUGGAUUGACAGAUUGAAGCGCAGAGCUAUAUCAUCAUCAAUCAUCAUCAAUCAUCAAUCAUCAAUCAUCCUUGUAUGGUGUAUCUCCGGGUUUCCCUCCAUCACCAGCAUCCCCUUUGUUCCCAAUCGAUUACAAUUCAAAGCAAAACACGCGCAAAGCUUCUCACCCCGAAAGAAAAAAAGAAAAAGAAAAGAAAGAGGAAAACAGACCCUCCUUUCUAGAACAAAGCAAAAUCUUCAUUCAAGCCAUGGAUGGGUGCGGGCUGUAUGGUUAAAAGGGCCCGAUUUUGUUCUUAUAUACAUGUGCAGUGCAUGUAUGUACAGUACAAGUACAGUACAACACACACCCCCUUCGAACGAGCCUCCACGCGCC
rnacentral:sRNA from 1 species